CUGUUUGAAGCUAUAAAGCAUUUAAAUGUUAAUUAAAAGAUAACUUAAAUAUAAGUUAAACAGA
rnacentral:tRNA from 1 species